CAGAGCUACCCAACAAAAAUAACUUCUUAUGCUAAAAUAGGAAUUUUUUUCUCUCCCCUCUCUUCCAGUGGGCGGCUCCAGGUGUCAACUGAGCAGAGUCAGGAUCAGCUGCAGUUAUUCCAGAGUACGUGUCCACGUGCAGAAUAUUCCGGAACAGCAGCAGCAGCAGUGGCAAGCACUGAGAUCGAGCAGGAUGGAGUGGCCUGGCCAAGCCGUGGCCCUGCUGGCAGGAGCUGCAGGGUGGACAGCAGAGGGAACACAGCUUGGUGGUGAAGGUGCUGUUCUCCUGAAAGAGGAUCCUGGCAAAAACAUGGCUUGGUGCUGGGGACGGCUUGCUGAAGGCAAGACAGCAGCAGACACUUGAAUGGAGACUCCUCGUGUUUACAGCCUGGUCACACGAGUGACUGAGACCCAAAAUCUCCCUGACAUCCUCUCUGGAUGCUUGGCCUUGGAACAGCCUCGUUUGUGCCACACCUGCUCCCUUCUGCUCAUGGAGCCUUCUAUGCUGCACAGGACACUGGAAAAGCACUUGGAGAUGACUGGAGAAAGAUGGAGCUUCCUGGAAAAUGGUCUCUAAACCAGGCCCUUCCCUGUGCCGUGGCUUUUCUGGGGCUCAUUUAUAUCAGUGGUUCCUGCUGGAGGAACUCUGUCACCUUCCCCGAGGCAGCAGAGCUGAGGCCAGACGUGGUGUGCGCUGCUUGUGCAUCAGACAUGAGUAAUAACAAGUUUGGAGGAACUGUACCACUUAAUAAAAGCAUUUUAUUACAUUUAAAUGUAUUAAAAUGUGAACAUUAAAUUCAACGCGCUAAUUACUGCUCCCAGGCAUUGCCGCUGACAGGAAAUGGAUCCUCACAAUUGCUC
rnacentral:lncRNA from 1 species